rnacentral:rRNA from 1 species
AGGACGAACGCUGGCGGCGUGCUUAACACAUGCAAGUCGAGCGGAAAGGCCUUUCGGGGUACUCGAGCGGCGAACGGGUGAGUAACACGUGAGUAAUCUGCCCAUCGCUUCAGGAUAGCCAUCGGAAACGGUGAUUAAUACUGGAUAUGACAUUCCUUCGCAUGUUGGGGUGUGGAAAGUUUUUUCGGCGGUGGAUGUGCUCGCGGCCUAUCAGCUUGUUGGUGGGGUAAUGGCCUACCAAGGCUUUGACGGGUAGCCGGCCUGAGAGGGUGACCGGGCCACACUGGGACUGAGACACGGCCCAGACUCCUACGGGAGGCAGCAGUGGGGAAUAGUUGGACAAUGGGGCGGAAGCCUGAUCCAGCAACGCCGCGUGAGGGAUGACGGCCUUCGGGUU